CAAGAGUUGCAUGAGAGUUGAUGAAAAUUGACUGGAUAUUACCCGUGCGCGCGGGGCGAAAGCUCUUAUCAUAGUGCAACUAUAGUCAUGUGCCUUUUCUUUGUGGCGUGUGUCUAUUUCGAAGUGAUUAUAGUUCAAACUAGUCAUAGUUUGUUCUACCAGUUCUAAACUGUUCUCCCUAGAGGUCCGGUGAAGACCACCAUUUAUUAUCC